rnacentral:rRNA from 1 species
GAUGAACGCUGGCGGCGUGCCUAACACAUGCCAGUCGAACGGAGAUUCCGGACGGAAGUUUUCGGAUGGAAGCCUGUAAUUCUUAGUGGCGGACGGGUGAGUAACGCGUGGGCAACCUGCCCUAUACAGGGGGAUAGCAGCUGGAAACGGCUGGUAAGACCGCAUAAGUCGGUUAAAUCGCAUGAUUUGAUCGGGAAAUGAGCAAUCAGGUAUAGGAUGGGCCCGCGUCCGAUUAGCCAGUUGGCAGGGUAAAAGCCUACCAAAGCGACGAUCGGUAGCCGGACUGAGAGGUCGGACGGCCACAUUGGGACUGAGACACGGCCCAAACUCCUACGGGAGGCAGCAGUGGGGGAUAUUGCACAAUGGAGGAAACUCUGAUGCAGCGACGCCGCGUGAGUGAAGAAGUAUUUCGGUAUGUAAAGCUCUAUCAGCAGGGAAGAUGAUGACGGUACCUGACUAAGAAGCCCCGGCUAACUACGUG